ensembl:lncRNA
UUUUUUUUGUUUUGAAAUAGAGUCUAGCUUUGUCACCCAGGCUGGAAUGCAGUGGCACGAUCUUGGCUCACUGCAUGCAAUCUCUGCCUCUCAGGUUCAAGCCUGCCUCAUUCUCCCAAGUAGCUGGGACUCCCAAUGAGGUUCUCCUGCCUCAUUCUCCCAAAUAGCUGGGACUACAGGCGCAUGCCAACACACCCAGCUAAUUUUUGUAUUUUUAGUAGAGACGGGGUUUCACCACGUUGGUCAGGCUGGUCUCGAACUCUUGACCUCCGGUGAUCUGUCUGCCUGGGCCUCCCAAAGUGCUGGGAUUACAAGCGUGAGCCACCACGCCCGGCCUGCUUUUAAAUUUAACACAUGUGCAGGAAUCUGUUAACUUGCUCCUCAGCACUCCUCCCUCUUCCUGUUAAUUGCACUUUUUUUUUUUGAGACAGGGUUUCUGCUGCCCAGGCUGCAGUGCAAUGGUAUGAUCUUGGCUCACUGAAGCCUCAACCUCCGGGGUUGAAGUGAUCUUCCCACCUCAGCCUCCUGAGUAGCUGGGACCACAGGUGUGUGCUACCAUGCCUUUUUUUCUUUUUUCAGAGACAGGGUCUCUCUAUGUUGCCCAGGCUGGUCUCAGUGAUCCUCCCACCUUGGCCUCCCAAAGUGCUGUGAUUAGGCCUAUGUUGUGUGUCACUUUCUUAACAGACUUACAUUGCUACCAUAUCUACAGUAGUCUGUGGCCCAUCCCAGCCUCUGCAGCCCCACUGCCCUCUAUCUCAUUACCUGGCUUUAGUUCUCCCUCACACUUACCUGACCUGUGUGAUAACUCCUUCCCAUGAGACCGUGAGCUCUGCGGUGCAGGAACCUUGCCUUCCUGUACUGCUGCAAUUUCUGCCAUAUUCCCCGCCUCUAGGGCAAUGCCUGGCCGCAGCAAGUUCUCCCUAAACAUUUGCCGAGUCGAACUGUCCCUUACCGAGUCCUCCUCCAUCACCCGCAAGCCUGGCUGGUGACCUGGAGACUCGGGUGGUGGCAGGCUGCAGGGAUCUGGAACUGCCUGGGCCUUGCCACUACUGAGGCCUGGCCAUCCGACGUCUCCUUUGAUUCUGAAAGUUACUGGGAACCUUAAAAAUGGGCUGUAGGAAAAUAACUUAAAGGAUUAUAUUAGCCAGAUUUCUUUUCUACUGGCUUACAAGUUAAGAGCCCCAACAAAACCAUUAUUCCAAAUGACUACGUCCAACACCUUCAUAAAUAUUUUAAAUGACUGCAUCCUAUCUCAUGGAGUGGAAGCACCAGUUUGCUUAACCAACCCCCUAGGGCAGCAGUUCAGCGUCUCGUAAGUUUCUGCGAUUGUAAACAGCAAUACUAAGAACACCACUGUGCUGUACCUUUUUCUCUACCCAGAGUCAUUUUCAAGGAUGGCUUCUCAGAAUUACAACUGCCCAGGCAGACACAGCACGAACAUUUUAAGGAGCUUGAUAACAUCUACAAAAUUUCUUCCCACAAAAAAUCAUACAGCAGCCAGCCUCCCAUACUGUAGCCAGCACCAGGCGCCGCUCAGCACUGUGCAUCUCACAGGCAGAGCCACUCACUUCUGUUCUCAUUUGCGUUUCUGGAUCACCGCACAUAACGUGCAUUCUCAGCCAAGAAUUCACAGGGAGUCUCCAGAGUUUUCCUCCUUUACUGUGCCUUCUAUGGCAAGGCCACGAACACUGUUUCCUGUGUGUCACAGAUGUCUUUCCCCUUUUUAUUAGCGUAAUCUAGCUUUCUGAGUCUAUCGUGGCACGUCUCCUCGCUAUGGUCUCCUGAAGGCCGUUCUUCUCUGCCCUUUGAGGAACUCCAGCUUCUCCCAGGCUGCCCUGCUCCCAGCAAAGCAGAGCAGGGAGAGUUCUGAGGUGAGGGGCCUCAUUCACCCUUUCAGUCCAGGCUGCAUCAUCUGGUCCCCUUUCACAGUGUGCCAUGCCACAGCGCACCAUUCUUACAAUUAAAAAAGGCGAAAACCAAGCCCUAUGCUGAAGAGCAACCAAAUAGGGCAUGCAGCAAACAGACUCAGGGGCAAACCUAACGGUUCUACAUGAAGCACGAGAAGCACCCAGCAGCUAAGACAGCAGAGCCAUCCGGUCCAGCUCCCCUCCGUCAGCUGCAUGGACGCCUGUUGAGUCCCAGGGCACAGGCUGCUUUCUCAGGGUGAUGCUAGCUCCAAUUUAGUAUCUAUCAGCAGAUAACAGAAGCUCCUCUGAGGCUUCAAUCAAACCAACUCCCACCCAACAAUGUGCAAUAAGAAAGCAGCUAAAUCUAUGACUCAAUGGGCAGUUCUUUAAAAAUAAAAAUAAUAAUAAAAAAACAAGAAAAGCAAGCGGCUAAAUUACAAAAGAAAACCAAUCCCCAAACUUCUGCCAGCAGACCCCAGGUGACAUCAAAUACAAAGGUUGUUUCCAUACUAGCAAAAUACUUUAUUUUUAUAAUGAUAAAACAAGGAAAGUAAAGAUUUCUUUUUGGUGUAUACCAGAGUUAAGGGCAGUAGAACAAUAUGGGGAUUAAUAGGACUUUUAUGCACUUUUGAUGACAAUAAAAAGUUAACAAUGCCAACCGUUUGCCAUGAAACUCAUCGUAGCCCCCAACACACACAUAUAAAGGACCAUAGUUUUAAAAUCUAUAAAAGUAAAAAAUAUACAGUUGGAAGCUCUAGCGCUUAUUCCAUCUUUCAUAUAAAAUUGUAAACAUUUAUUUACACAAAGCAAAUGUGUAUAACAAAAGUCUGAGCACCCUUUUCUUCUGAGUCGUGGCUCCUGGAAGACGGGGCUGUGCACAGAAGCAAAGUCAUCUCCUCCCCUGACUCCCGAAAACCAGAUUCAUAAAUAAAGCCAUGGGCAGCUCCCU